rnacentral:rRNA from 1 species
CCUACGUGAGGCAGCAGUAGGGAAUCUUCCACAAUGGGCGAAAGCCUGAUGGAGCAACGCCGCGUGGAUGAUGAAGGUCUUCGGAUCGUCAAACCCUGUUGUUAGAGAAGAUAAUGCGUGAGAGUAACUGUUAACAUUUCGACGGUAUCUAACCAGAAAGCCACGGCAAACUACGUGCCAGCAGCCGCGGUAAUCCGUAGGGGGCAAGCGUUAUCCGGAUUGAUUGGGCGUAAAGGGAGCGCAGGCGGUCUGUUAAGUCGGAUGUGAAAGCCUCCGGCUUAACCAGAGUAGUGCAUUGGAAACUGGGAGACUGGAGAGCAGGAGAGGAGAGUGGAAUUCCAUGUGUAGCGGUGAAAUGCGUAGAUAUAUGGAGGAACACUAGUGGCGAAAGCGGCUCUCUGGUCUGUAACUGACGCUGAGGUUCGAAAGCGUGGGUAGCAAACAGGAUUAGAUACCCUUGUAGUC